GGCGGUAUACCCAGGAGUUUGAGGUUAGAUUCCCAUUCUGGGUGUUGGCCCUCGCUGGUUCAAAUCCAGCUACCGCUA
rnacentral:tRNA from 1 species